rnacentral:rRNA from 1 species
CCUACGGGAGGCUGCAGUGGGGAAUAUUGCGCAAUGGGCGAAAGCCUGACGCAGCGACGCCGCGUGAGGGAUGAAGGUCUUCGGAUCGUAAACCUCUGUCAGCAGGGAAGAACGGUCACUGUGCUAAUCAGCAGUGAAUUGACGGUACCUGCAAAGGAAGCACCGGCUAACUCCGUGCCAGCAGCCGCGGUAAUACGGAGGAUGCGAGCGUUAUCCGGAUUUAUUGGGUUUAAAGGGUGCGUAGGCGGACAGUCAAGUCAGCGGUAAAAAUGCGGUGCUCAACGCCGUACAGCCGUUGAAACUGGCAGUCUUGAGUGGGCGAGAAGUAUGCGGAAUGCGUGGUGUAGCGGUGAAAUGCAUAGAUAUCACGCAGAACUCCGAUUGCGAAGGCAGCAUACCGGCGCCCUACUGACGCUGAGGCACGAAAGCGUGGGUAUCGAACAGGAUUAGAUACCCCUGUAGUC